UACGAAGGGGGCUAGCGUUGUUCGGAAUCACUGGGCGUAAAGGGCGCGUAGGCGGCUUUGUAAGUCGGGGGUGAAAGCCUGUGGCUCAACCACAGAAUUGCCUUCGAUACUGCAUGGCUUGAGACCGGAAGAGGUAAGUGGAACUGCGAGUGUAGAGGUGAAAUUCGUAGAUAUUCGCAAGAACACCAGUGGCGAGGGCGGCUUACUGGUCCGGUUCUGACGCUGAGGCGCGAAAGCGUGGGGAGCAAACAGG
rnacentral:rRNA from 1 species